rnacentral:rRNA from 1 species
GAUUAUGGCUCAGGAUGAACGCUAGCGGCAGGCUUAACACAUGCAAGUCGAGGGGCAACGCGAGUAGCAAUACUUGGCGGCGGCCGGCGCAAGGGUGCGUAACGCGUGAGCAACAUGCCCGUAUCAGGGGGAUAAUCCAGGGAAACUUGGUCUAAUACCCCAUAGUAAUUUUGUAAGGCAUCUUAUAAGAUUUAAAGCUUUGGUGGAUACGGAUUGGCUCGCGUGACAUUAGCUGGAUGGUAAGGUAACGGCUUACCAUGGCUAUGAUGUCUAGGGGUUCUGAGAGGAAGGUCCCCCACACUGGAACUGAGACACGGUCCAGACUCCUACGGGAGGCAGCAGUGAGGAAUAUUGGACAAUGGAUGGAAAUCUGAUCCAGCCAUGCCGCGUGAAGGAAGAAGGUCCUAUGGAUUGUAAACUUCUUUUGUAUGGGAGCAAUAAGGCCUACGAGUAGGUUGAUGAGAGUACCAUACGAAUAAGCACCGGCUAACUCCGUGCCAGCAGCCGC